GUUACAACUCCCAAACCCUGUGAACAUACCUAUACGUUGCCUCGGCGGAUCAGCCCGCGCCCCGUAAAACGGGACGGCCCGCCGCAGGACCCAUAAACCCUGAAUUUUAUUGUAACUUCUGAGUUUAAAAAACAAAUAAAUCAAAACUUUCAACAACGGAUCUCUUGGUUCUGGCAUCGAUGAAGAACGCAGCAAAAUGCGAUAAGUAAUGUGAAUUGCAGAAUUCAGUGAAUCAUCGAAUCUUUGAACGCACAUUGCGCCCGCCAGUAUUCUGGCGGGCAUGCCUGUUCGAGCGUCAUUUCAACCCUCAAGCCCCCGGGUUUGGUGUUGGGGAUCGGGCUGCGGUUCUACCGCGUCCCGGCCCCGAAAUCUAGUGGCGGUCUCGCUGCAGCCUCCAUUGCGUAGUAGCUAACACCUCGCAACUGGAACGCGGCGCGGCCAAGCCGUUAAACCCCCAACUUCUGAAUGUUGACCUCGGA
rnacentral:rRNA from 1 species